UUGGAAAAUAGAGACUGCCAUUAACAAAGACCACAAAAUAAAAUUCCACAAAAAUGUUGAGAAAUCGCGGUCAGAAAAGACUCGAAUACACACUGAAUGGUGAGUAUUCCAGUAUCGAAGAAUUCUAGAUUUCUUCAGUAAUGGAAUUAUGAUAAUCUUAGCCACUCGAGACAUUUUUUGUCUCCAACCAGAGCCAAAGUAUAAUGUAGCAGUUCACAUUCUUUAAAAUACCCCAGCAAAUGAAAUGAAAAAACAAUUGUUUGUUUCCUUUUAUUCCUAAAUAACAGAUGAACUCACAGAAUCCAACCCCACAAGAGGAUCCAGAAAACUGCUCAUGGAGCCAAUUAGUAGCCCCAGUAGUCGUUUCGAAUUUCAUCAUCAAAUUUCUUCUUUAACUCGGGAUGCUUUGCGAAGUAUUCUUCUGCUGUCAUGGUACUGAGUUUUUUCUUCAACUCUUGGACCUCGGCAACUUCCUUUUCUAAUCUUUCAGACUCCUUGAGAGAUUGCUUCUCAGCUUCUUUCAGCUCCACCAACAAAGCAUCAAACUUGGGUUUGUAUUGAGGAGUAACUGUGUCCUCAAACUUGGGGAUCUCAAUGCUUUCAUAGGCUUCUUUGUACAUGUCUACCAAGCGAGAACCAAUUCCUUUCCUGUAAUAUUCCCAGUUUAUGGGCUCAGGCUCCUGGCUGAACUUGGUUUGGAGUUGUGAGUUGACAUCAUCGAAAGCACGACGGAGAUUAGAAAACUCCUUACGAGCUUCAUCGGUGACAAGAAGCUUUGCCAUUCCAUCCCAAUCAAUAGUCCGGCCGGCCUUGAAUGUCACAUCGGCGAUCUUCUUCACUGUUCCGCUCAUUUUCGAUCUCUAUUCUCUUCUCUCUUCGUAAUCUUUUCGGCCGUCUGUUUGAUGUGCUGU
rnacentral:misc_RNA from 1 species